GAUGAACGCUGGCGGCGUGCCUAAUACAUGCAAGUCGAGCGAACAGACGAGGAUCUUGCUCCUCUUACGUUAGCGGCGGGCGGGUGAGUCACACGUGGAUAACCUACCUCUUAGUCUUGGAUCACUUCGGGAAACCGGAUACCAUACCAGAUCAUAUAUUGAACCUCAUGGUUCAAUAGUUAUAGACGGUUUUGCUGUCCCUUAUAGAUGGAUCCGCGUCGGAUUAGCUAGUUGGUAAGGUAAAGGCUUACCAAGGCAACGAUGCGUAGCUGACCUGAGAGGGUGAUCGGACACACUGGAACUGAGACACGGUCCAGACUCCUACGGGAGGCAGCAGUAGGGAAUAUUGGGCAAUGGGCGAAAGCUUGACGGAGCAACGCCGCGUGAGUGAUGAAGGUCUUCGGAUCGUAAAACUCUGUUAUUAGGGAAGAACAAAUGUGUAAGUAAAUAUGCACGUCUUGACGGUACCUAAAGAAAAAGCAACGGCUAACUACGUG
rnacentral:rRNA from 1 species